ensembl:lncRNA
CAAAAUUUUAGCCGUUAGUUAUUCGACCUUUUGGAUGAUUGGCAGCCUUGGGGGUGAAGGAAAUAUGCGGACUGCAAUGUGAUUAUAGCCCUAGUGAGACUUUAUCUGGCUAGGUAUAUUUUACUUAGCUGGUGAAGCAGCCCUACCCUUACUCAGACCCUAUUUCUUUUUCAGACAGGAAGUGCUUUGAAAAAGCUGCCUUGUCUCGGCACUGAAACUCUCUGAGACACAGUUCAAAUGCACGAGGGAAACUUGUUGAACGCUCCUGCUCUACUGCCUGGCUAGGAUCUUGUGCUUUAUUUAUAGCUUUCCUUAUUACAUCAAGUCCGGAAUGCAGCUCUUCUACUGUUCUACCUUCUCUAGGCAAGAGCUAAUAUUUGAAGUUUGACUCCUCAGACGUAUCAGCCCUACUUGGCCUCAGCACUGCUUGGCCAUGAAAUUCCAUAUUGAUUUGAAGAUUUUUCUCUGUGCUUUUUAAGGCAAGAAUCGAUUGUGAUUCGCUGUCUCUGGUAUCUGCUCUCCGCAGUUUCACGGUUGUUCAUGAGUGUGUGAGUUAGCUUCUGUGCGCUACCCGCUCACUGCGGUGAGAUACACAGUGAAGUGGGUGGAUGGCAGGAUUUUUAACUGAUUUUUCCACUGGUUUGUGGAACUCCGAAUUCCUAUUUGAACUGCUUGAUCUUUCUUGACUCCUUAAUCUCACCGUGAAGAAUAUUUGCAUUUCCUGAUGCUUUCACCUGUUUUUAAACACACGCUGAUACAUGCAAUUUUAUCCGCCUAAAAGGUUCCUCAACACUGCAUUAAGAGGCCACUGAUGAAGACAAGAUGCAAGGCUACCCCAGCAUGGUAUUUCUUGCAUUGCUGAAGUGUCUGUAGCAAUGACAAUUGAAACAUAUCUGAUUCUGGAAACUGAAACAUUCUGCGUAUUCUCUGGAGAGGAGAUAAUCUGGAAAACCUUCAAGUCUGAGUCAAGGCUCGUGUCUGAACAGAAGUCUUGAGCUCUGUUGGCCUUUCAAAAGGCAUUCUACAAAUAAAAAAUAAGAGUUAAACCCUCUGGGGGCUGCAUUACUGCACUGGAAAUCUGACCGGAUGUGGUGGAUGAUGAACAACAGCGACUGUGAUGAUGACAGCACAGUGACCUGUGCCUGAACGAGAAGGUACUUUAUUGGACAUUUCUGCCUCGGUCACUCUGCCUGAUUCAGUGAUGGACACAUGUUCUUGCUAGUUAUAGACUGAUAAAAUAUUAUUGUCUCUUCAACAUUUUCCCCCUUUCAUAAUCUAAACGCUGUCAGAGGGAAUAGGAUCUAAAGGCAAUUCAGAUGUUAGGGCAGAUCACUUUCCAGUUAAAAG